GUCCCCGUAGCUUAAUGACCAAAGCAUGGCACUGAAGAUGCUAAGAUGGUUGCCUAAUGCACCCAGGGACA
rnacentral:tRNA from 1 species